AACAAGUGAGCAGAGCAUAUAAAACGUGAAUGAAGCUGAAGAGGAAAGGGCCUCAGUAAAAGUUCCAUGAGCUUGAAAUUUUUAUGAGUUGUGCUCCAAUAUCUAUAAAACAGUGCCUGGCACAAAUUAGGCCCUCCAUCACUACGCUGUAGAAUGAAUAAAUGAAUAAUAAACAAACGGACAAACGAACGAACGAAUGAAAGCUCACACAGAGGGCUAGGGCUGCUGGACGCAUGCGUGUCACAGCGGACCGCCCCACUAAAAUCUCAGAAUAGGUGCAGGCGCCGGCUCCUCUUUCGGUGGGUGGAGCUGGGGCGUAUGUUUCUCUCUGCCCGCCUGCUGGUUGGUGAGGCGCUGCCGCCACCGCUUGCAAGGGCUUCUGGGAGCUGAGCUUCGGAGUCUCGGGGAAGGGGUGCCGGUGGCCGCCAUCUUGAGCUGCGAACCUCAUCGCUGUGUUCUUAACGCUAGGGGUGGAGUGGUGACCCCAGCUGUUACCCGCAGCCGGGGACUAGAAAGUCAGGGUAUGAGAUGGUGCCACAUUAAUAGGUAGUGAGAGUGACACAGGUCAGGUUGGGCGAGCUUCGGGUUUGAUCCCCGUGGGAGCUACCAAUUCCUGGGACUGCUGUUUUUAUUUACCCCUUUCCUUGCGAGACGUUCAGGUCCUGACCACGCCAGGGCUUUUCUCGGGUUCCCCUGAGGGAGACAGCGGGGACCGGGGCGUGGCAGCCGGACCUCCCUGACAGACGCGAAAGCGCGGAGUCCAGCCCCUCUGAUCGGCAGUCGGGUCCUGCGAAGAAGCUUCUGGCAGCCCAGAUCAUACUCCCGCCGUUUCUCAGUAGUUCCUCGUACGGUACAUGGUCUUGUCAAACGCUGUCACGCACUCUUGAGACUAAGCGUGUGUGCGCGUGUCGGGCAGCGUAUUAGCGGUUCCACAGUGUCCAGAAUGAGGCAGGUUUGAUCCUGGGGGCCUGCAUGAUUGAACCUCUACCGCCGCCAGCUAUCCUCUUCCACCUGGAGGCAGGUGCCUCGAAGGGCUCAUCAGUCCUGACGCGCGGAUGCCAUGGUUAGUCCAGGGAAAGAUAACUAUAGAAUGAAAAUGAAAAGUUGUAAGAAUAAAGCCCUAAAUCUCCAAGGGAUGCAUAGACAAAAAGAAGAAAUACAGCUUCAAAAACAGAAAAGGGAAGAACAGUUGUUAAAAUGCAGAAAUGUCCAGAGGUGAUUAAUCUAUGCUGGAAAGUCCUACCUAGGAUCCAGAUAUCAGUUCCACUGUACCAUUCCAGAGGUUAUUAACAAAUUCAAAUGGACUUACUGUAAGAUAAAUUCCAACCAAAAUAAGUAGGUGAAGAGAGGCACCAAAGGGCCAGGCAGUUUAUUUGAGCGCAAUUCCCAGGCACUGUCAUUAUAAAGUUGUAUCAUCUGCAUUAAGAGCAGUUGUAAUAUUAUGACUGAUGGUGAUAUCCAAACACAGGCUGCUACAGAUGCAAAUAUUUUUCCUCUUUUGACUGAGAUUCUGCAGAAAGCAGAGUUUCACACAAUAAAAAAAUCAGCUUUGGCUGUAACUUACGUGGUAUACAGAGACACUCCAGAACACAUAAGGUAUUUGGUAGCCUUAGGUUGCAUUGAACUACUUUGUAACCUGUUGACUGCUAUGAAUUCAAAAAUAGUCCCAAGUUGCUUUAAAUGGACUAGAAAAUAUUUUACAUCUUGGAGAACAAAAAUUUAAGCAGAAUGGAAAAAGCAUUAAUCCAUACUGUGCUCUCAUUGAAGAAGUAUGGUCUGGAUAAAAUUAAAUUUCUGCAAAGCCAUGAAAGUCAGGAAAUUUACCAAAAGGCUUUUGAUCUGAUUGAACAUUGCUUUGGUGUAAAAGAAGACCCCAGCAUUGUCCCUCAGGUGAAUGAAACCAAACAACAGUUGAUAUGUCAGCAAUAGGAAGCACCAGUGGAAGUUUCAACUUUAACUUGGCUGGGGGGAAAAUUAAUGGCUAAAAAGUUUAGCAUCUCUUCUUUGUUGCAGGGUAUGUAGGAAUGUUUUGUAUGUUUUUAUGUAGAACAGAAAAGAAACAAGUUGAUGCACUUUUAAAAAGCAAAACAAAAGUUUUCAUUCAGAUGUAACCUUUCAUUGUAGUUUUCUUUAUAUUUUGGUGUGCCUGUAUUUGUCUUUAUUGUAUUAUCUAUUUUUUGUACCUAUUUGUGAAUAAUACAUUAUUAAAUUAUUCAAUAAUUUAAGCUUUAAAAGGAGGACUUCGGUAAAAUGUUACACAAGAGUUCUGGACUUUUUCUAGCAUUCUUAAAAACUGCACAUUAGCAGUACAGCUAUUGAUAAUUGCAUUUUGGCAGUAUGCAUGGCAGAGGCUGACAUGCCCAGUCUCUACUUAAUCUACCUCUAUUUUGAAGCAAAAACAAAACCAAAAA